rnacentral:rRNA from 1 species
UAGGGAAUCUUCCGCAAUGGACGCAAGUCUGACGGAGCAACGCCGCGUGAGUGAAGAAGGAUUUCGGUUCGUAAAACUCUGUUGUUAGAGAAGAACAGCGCAUAGAGUAACUGUUAUGCGUGUGACGGUAUCUAACCAGAAAGCCACGGCUAACUACGUGCCAGCAGCCGCGGUAAUACGUAGGUGGCAAGCGUUGUCCGGAUUUAUUGGGCGUAAAGCGAGCGCAGGCGGUCAAUUAAGUCUGAUGUGAAAGCCCCCGGCUCAACCGGGGAGGGUCAUUGGAAACUGGUUGACUUGAGUGCAGAAGAGGAGAGUGGAAUUCCAUGUGUAGCGGUGAAAUGCGUAGAUAUAUGGAGGAACACCAGUGGCGAAGGCGACUCUCUGGUCUGUAACUGACGCUGAGGCUCGAAAGCGGGGGUAGCAAACAGG